CGCUCGUGGCCUCUUGUUCUCCUGAGCCAGACCCUGUGUCAUCCAUGCUUGACCAAUCUGAGCAUCUACUGAAGAACAGGGGAAACGACCUGAGAAUUGAGGGACAAUCUUUACAACGAAAUGGCUUGGCCGUGUCUCCCGUUUUUGGAGAAGUGCGCAGAGAGGACUUCCGGUCAAGACAGCACUAGAAUGCAAGAAGACUAGUCUUUCCGUGUGUCCUCAAAUCCCUUCCGUGGAGUGUGGCUACCACAGAGAUGGGAUGCUGGAAUGACAACAGCCGUGCCCACAGACAGCAGUAAACUCAUUCCUAACCAUCGUA